rnacentral:sRNA from 1 species
CGAAAAACCAGCGUCAGCGGACGCUGGUGAGGACUUUCAGUGUGGCCGUUCGUGCCCUGAGGGCAAACGGAAACGGUGACGCGUUGCGUCGAAGGAGCGGGGCAGCGGUAAAAAGGUUAACGCCCUGUGACUAAUGUGGACGGAUUCUAUGCACGGUUUUAUAGAUCGUCAACACUAUAGAAUGCAAUAUCUAUAACUAUUUGUAA